rnacentral:rRNA from 1 species
UACGUAGGGGGCAAGCGUUACUCGGAAUUACUGGGCGUAAAGGGUGAGUAGGCGGCUGAGCAAGUCAAGGAUGAAAGCCCGAGGCUCAACUUCGGAAUUGUCCUUGAAACUGCUCAGCUUGAGGGUAGUUGAGGAGAGUGGAAUUCCCGGUGGAGCGGUGAAAUGCGUAGAUAUCGGGAGGAACACCUGAGGCGAAGGCGGCUCUCUAAGCUAUUCCUGACGCUGAAUCAAGAAAGCGAGGGGAGCAAACGGG